rnacentral:rRNA from 1 species
UGGGGAAUCUUGCACAAUGGGCGAAAGCCUGAUGCAGCCAUGCCGCGUGAAUGAUGAAUGCCUUAGGGUUGUAAAAUUCUUUCAACGGUGACGAUAAUGACGGUAGCCGUAGAAGAAGCCCCGGCUAACUUCGUGCCAGCAGCCGCGGUAAUACGAAGGGGGCUAGCGUUGUUCGGAAUUACUGGGCGUAAAGCGCGCGUAGGCGGACUAUUAAGCCAGAUGUGAAAUCCGGGGGCUCAACCCCGGAACUGCAUUUGGAACUGGUAGUCUAGAGGUCAGGAGAGGUUCGUGGAAUGCCGAGUGUAGAGGUGAAAUUCGUAGAUAUUCGGAGGAACACCAGUGGCGAAGGCGGCUCACUGGCUCGAUACUGACGCUGAGGUGCGAAAGUGUGGGGAGCAAACAGGAUUAGAUACCCCCGUAGUCC